GAAUUAUCCUCGUCUCCUAGUCCCGCCUAUCUUCCGGCCUCUACUGCCUAUUGGCCAAACAGCGUUUUAUCUAUCAACCAAUAAGGGAGACACAUACACAGAAGGACAUCCCCCAUCUGGGCAACGUUGGCAGAACUGCCUGCAAGGCGUGCAUGGAGCCCAGGAAGGCAGAUUUCCUGAGUCAUCACCCGCGCUGGGGUGAGCUGUUUGGUGAUGCGGUUGCCUUCGAGUCACCCACACUCCCCUGAGUAGCCCCACUAAGUUCACUGGUUCAUUAGAUUCGGGUUCAGCCGUUAGUUUAUUUGAUCUGUCGCGUAUGCCGUAUCUGGGAUGAAUGGACACCUGUUCAGGUCUCUCUAAGAAAAGCUACUCAUCGGCAGUGGUUAGACCACCUUGGGCUGUGACAGAGGCUAUUGCUUUGCCUCUGGGAAUCACCACACCACUCACUCGUCACAGCCUCCCUCCAGCGUCUCUGGCACUUGGUAUUUUCAGCUUUUUGAGCUUCGGACGUUUGCUUACAAGAGAGGAACGCUUUUUUGUUGUUGUUGUUCGUUUCAAUUUUUAUUUCUCCAGCAACUGGCAAGGGUAGGCCACUCGAUGUUUUAGAGUGACUCCUUGUAUUUCUGUGUGGGACGUUUAGCUUCCUUUCCUGCCGCUGUGAUAAAACACCCUGGCACGGGGGCUCGGGUGAGAGUGUGUUUGUAGCUCGCAGCUGUAGGCUGCAGUCCGUCAUGGGAGGGGAAGCCACGGCAGCUGUGGCUUGAAGCAGCUGUCACAUCGCAUCCCCGAUCAAGAGCAAAUAGCGGUGAGGUAAUUCACACCAUCUUGCUUUCUCCACCAUCAUGUGGUCCAGGGUCCCUGCCUAGGGAAUGGUGUCACCUACAGUGGACAAGUCUUCGCACCUCGGGUGACUAGGUCAAGACAGCCCCCCACAGACGUGCACAGGGGCCGGCCAACCUGAUCCAGACACUCCCUCACGGAGACCCCCUCCUCGGGGGAAUUCUAGAUUGCCUCCUGCUGGCGAUUGAAAGUAACCAUUCCAGCUGGAGGUGUUCACAUACCUGGACCUGCAUGCAGUGACUGUCAUCACCGAUAAGCACCUCGUCCUUCCAUUGGCGCCAUCGUGAUGUCUCCAGAAAAACAUUAGUCCCUAAUUGAGAGUGAGGCGGCGAUCGAUCAUGUUUCGUACAGACUGGGGUUUUUGUGUCUCACUUCAGAAGUCUCCCCUUAACCCAAGGUCAUAUGAAUUUCCCACUACAUUUACAUCUAAGACUUCUCUUAAAGUGCGUGAUUUUGGUGCAUCUAUGUCCUUUGUCCUUCCAAAACUGACAGGGAGAGGAUCUGACAUAGAAGUCUGAUACCAGAGACGAGGGUCUCUGGCUGUGUCGCUUGGCUGCAACACCAUUCCCGCCAGACUGCCAACACCGAACGGGGGGGGGGGCACACCAGCAUUCAUUCCUCUCUCCCCACGUCCUAGGCUGCUAAAACAUGUGCAGACAGCCCAGAGUCCCUCACACAGCAUACCUUCCCAGCCACGAGCAAGUCAGGGCUGAUAGCGGGUGACCCAGAAUGAACUGUCUCUCCCUCCGGUUGCUUCCCUUGAGCUAUUUGGUCACAGCAAUGGGAAAAGUACUAAAUGCCACACGUUUCUGGUCAUUCCGCCUCGACCCUGCAGGUGUCUGUGGGAAGCAGCCUCUUCUUGAGCUUAGUCUGGAUAAAAUGCUGGCAGGCUCCCCACCUGCUCUCCCCA